rnacentral:tRNA from 1 species
UCAGAAAAGUAGGACUACACUACCCACACCAACAACUCCCAAAGCUAUUAUUCUUUUCUAAACUAUUUUCUG